UCGCGGGGCAUUGCUGGGCGGUGUCUGAGCAGCCAGUGGGAGUGGGGCCGAGCUCUUGCCCCUGGGGUGGUGUAAGCGCCUUUCGGAGCGUCUGCUUGAGGCCAGGAGGGAGCUUCAGGUGUUGUCCAGCGGCGUGCCUUGCCCUGUGAGACCCCUGGCACCACCCGUGCCCUCCCUGUGCUGCAGGCCGGGGAGUCCAUCCAGCCUCUGCAUCAGGCUCCAGCGCGUAGUGCAAAGGCAUUGGCUAGGGCAGAUGAAUUCAAAUCAGAGCCUGGCUUCCUCUGAUCUUGCCUUUCGUGUAAGAACCAAAAGAACCCAAAUGCAGAGUAACUGGACUUUUGCAAAUAGGAGUAGGUUCCUGUGUGUGUAACCAUGUAGGUGAGUGCAUGUAGGCAUCACGAGGACAAUUUAACCCAUCAACUGUUUGCAGCUGCUCCACUUCUAAAUGGAUCUACAGAAUGAGCCUGGCAGCACUUCCACUGAAAGUGGCUCAAAGCUGGCUUUCAGAACUACUCAAGUGCUUCCUUGGAUAUACUUGGAUACACUUUGGUAUGUCAGCUCUCAGGGAGUUAAGGGUGACCUUUGUUAGCUUUCCAGAGCAUCAUUCCCCUCUCCAAAAUGCCUGUUGUUCCAUCAAGAAAAGUCACAAAUUAUUUUAUCUUCAUGAAUUAGACCCCCUUUCCUUAACCAC